rnacentral:rRNA from 1 species
AGCGAACGCUGGCGGCGUGCCUAACACAUGCAAGUCGUACGUGAAAGGGAGCAAUCCCAAGUAAAGUGGCGUACGGGUGAGUAACACGUAGGUAAUCUACCCCAGAAUCUGGAAUAACCGGCCGAAAGGCUGGCUAAUACUGGAUAGAGCGACGGAAUCCGUAAUUGGGUUUUUCGGGAAAGGGAGCCUGUAAAAAGGCCUUCGUUCUGGGAUGAGCCUGCGUCCCAUCAGCUAGUUGGUGAGGUAAAAGCUUACCAAGGCAAUGACGGGUAGCUGGUCUGAGAGGACGGUCAGCCACACUGGAACUGAAACACGGUCCAGACCCCUACGGGAGGCAGCAGGGAGGAAUCUUGCGCAAUGGACGAAAGGCUGACGCAGCAACGCCGCGUGGGUGAAGAAGGCCCUCGGGUUGUAAAGCUCUGUCGAGUGGGACGAAAAUGCUUGGAGUUCACAGCUCCAGGAACUGACGGUACCACUAAAGGAAGCACCGGCUAACUCCGUG